CCUACGGGGGGCAGCAGUGGGGAAUAUUGGACAAUGGGCGAAAGCCUGAUCCAGCCAUGCCGCGUGUGUGAAGAAGGCCUUCGGGUUGUAAAGCACUUUCAGUGGGGAAGAAAGCCUUGGGGCUAAUACCCUCGAGGAAGGACAUCACCCACAGAAGAAGCACCGGCUAACUCCGUGCCAGCAGCCGCGGUAAUACGGAGGGUGCGAGCGUUAAUCGGAAUUACUGGGCGUAAAGCGCGCGUAGGCGGUCUGAUAAGCCGGUUGUGAAAGCCCCGGGCUCAACCUGGGAACGGCAUCCGGAACUGUCAGGCUAGAGUGCAGGAGAGGAAGGUAGAAUUCCCGGGGUAGCGGUGAAAUGCGUAGAGAUCGGGAGGAAUACCAGUGGCGAAGGCGGCCUUCUGGACUGACACUGACGCUGAGGUGCGAAAGCGUGGGUAGCAAACAGGAUUAGAUACCCAGUAGUC
rnacentral:rRNA from 1 species